GAUCAUGGCUCAGAUUGAACGCUGGCGGCAGGCUUAACACAUGCAAGUCGAGCGGGGAAAGGUAGCUUGCUACUGGACCUAGCGGCGGACGGGUGAGUAAUGCUUAGGAAUCUGCCUAUUAGUGGGGGACAACAUUCCGAAAGGAAUGCUAAUACCGCAUACGCCCUACGGGGGAAAGCAGGGGAUCUUCGGACCUUGCGCUAAUAGAUGAGCCUAAGUCGGAUUAGCUAGUUGGUGGGGUAAAGGCCUACCAAGGCGACGAUCUGUAGCGGGUCUGAGAGGAUGAUCCGCCACACUGGGACUGAGACACGGCCCAGACUCCUACGGGAGGCAGCAGUGGGGAAUAUUGGACAAUGGGCGGAAGCCUGAUCCAGCCAUGCCGCGUGUGUGAAGAAGGCCUUUUGGUUGUAAAGCACUUUAAGCGAGGAGGAGGCUCCUUUAGUUAAUACCUAAAGUGAGUGGACGUUACUCGCAGAAUAAGCACCGGCUAACUCUGUGCCAGCCGCCGC
rnacentral:rRNA from 1 species